rnacentral:rRNA from 1 species
GAUCCUGGCUCAGGAUGAACGCUGACAGAAUGCUUAACACAUGCAAGUCAACUUGAAUUUGGGUUUUUAACUUAGAUUUGGGUGGCGGACGGGUGAGUAACGCGUAAAGAACUUGCCUCACAGUUAGGGACAACAUUUAGAAAUGAAUGCUAAUACCUGAUAUUAUGAUUUUAAGGCAUCUUAGAAUUAUGAAAGCUAUAAGCACUGUGAGAGAGCUUUGCGUCCCAUUAGCUAGUUGG